GUGUCAGCAGCCGCGGUAAUACGUAGGGUGCAAGCGUUAAUCGGAAUUACUGGGCGUAAAGCGUGCGCAGGCGGUUAUGUAAGACAGAGGUGAAAUCCCCGGGCUCAACCUGGGAACUGCCUUUGUGACUGCAUAGCUGGAGUACGGCAGAGGGGGAUGGAAUUCCGUGUGUAGCAGUGAAAUGCGUAGAUAUGCGGAGGAACACCAAUGGCGAAGGCAAUCCCCUGGGCCUGUACUGACGCUCAUGCACGAAAGCGUGGGGAGCAAACAGGAUUAGAUACCCGCGUAGUCC
rnacentral:rRNA from 1 species